AGAAUGAACGCUGGCGGCAUGCCUAACACAUGCAAGUCGAACGAGACCUUUCGGGGUCUAGUGGCGCACGGGUGCGUAACGCGUGGGAAUCUACCCUUGGGUUCGGAAUAACAGUUGGAAACGACUGCUAAAUACCGGAUGAUGUCUAACGACCAAAGAUUUAUCGCCCAGGGAUGAGCCCGCGUAGGAUUAGGUAGUUGGUGUGGUAAAGGCGCACCAAGCCUACGAUCCUUAGCUGGUCUGAGAGGAUGAUCAGCCACACUGGGACUGAGACACGGCCCAGACUCCUACGGGAGGCAGCAGUGGGGAAUAUUGGACAAUGGGCGCAAGCCUGAUCCAGCAAUGCCGCGUGAGUGAUGAAGGCCUUAGGUUGUAAAGCUCUUUACCGGAUGAUAAUGACAGUACCGGAGAAUAAGCUCCGGCUAACUCCGCGCCAGCAGCCGC
rnacentral:rRNA from 1 species